GAGCGAGAAAGGGCUUCGGCCCCAGUAAAGCGGCGCACGGGUGAGUAACACGUAGGUUACCUGCCCUCGGGUGGUGGAUAACAGUCCGAAAGGAUUGCUAAUACAGCAUAACACCGUAAGGUCAAAGUGGGCCUCUCCAUGGAAGCUCACGCCUGAGGAUGGGCCUGCGGCGCAUCAGCUUGUUGGUGGGGUAAUGGCCUACCAAGGCGAAGACGCGUAGCUGGUCUGAGAGGAUGAACAGCCACACUGGAACUGAGACACGGUCCAGACUCCUACGGGAGGCAGCAGUAGGGAAUCUUGCGCAAUGGGCGAAAGCCUGACGCAGCGACGCCGCGUGAGUGAUGAAGGCCUUCGGGUUGUAAAGCUCUGUGGGGAGAGAAGAAUAAGCGUAACCUAAUACGUUGCGUGAUGACGGUAUCUCCUUAGCAAGCACCGGCUAACUCUGUGCCAGCAGCCGCGGUAAGACAGAGGGUGCAAACGUUGUUCGGAAUUACUGGGCGUAAAGCGCGUGUAGGCGGCUUGGCAAGUCGGGUGUGAAAUCCCGGGGCUCAACCCCGGAAGUGCACUCGAAACUGCUUGGCUGGAGUCCUGGAGAGGAAGGUGGAAUGCUUGGUGUAGAGGUGAAAUUCGUAGAUAUCAAGCGGAACACCCGUGGCGAAGGC
rnacentral:rRNA from 1 species